ACCGGUUUCCCCCCGAAUUAGCGAAAAAAUUUGCCCUGCAGGCAUGAUUAUGCGUUAAUAAUCAGCGGUGAAAGAAGACCUACAUAACGCAGGGCCUUCGCGCCGUAAGUGCCGUAAAGGCAGGUUUAUCAAGUAAAGGAAAGUCAAAUGGCUAAGAUCACUGGUCACGUAAAAUGGUUUAACGAAAGCAAAGGCUUCGGCUUUAUCACUCCAGCCGACGGUUCUAAGGACGUUUUCGUUCAUUUUUCCGCAAUCGUUAGCGAUGGCUUCAAGACUCUGGCAGAAGGCCAGCAGGUUGAGUUCUCCAUCCAGGACAGCCAACGUGGCCCGGCUGCAGCCGAUGUUGUUGCUAUCUAAUUAGCGACCCGCUGCUGAAAAACCCGCUUCAGGCGGGUUUUUUUAU
rnacentral:sRNA from 1 species